GACUCAGCUGGAGCCAUUUUCACAAACAACCUGCAGGAAGCUGUCUGGAAGCCCCAGUUCACUGUUCAUCGGCGCUGGCUUCUGAGUGAUUGUUUCUGUCUCUUCCUCAUGCUGUUACCUGAGGGCCUCAAGAAGAUGGUUGUACCUCCCAGCAUGUGUCCGCAUAUCAGCCAGGAAGAAGGAAAGAGGACGGGACAUUAGUAACAAACUUCUCCUUAAUCUCAUUGGCCUAUGCUGUGAGUCUGACAGAAGGCUUCUCUGUCUGUCGGAGCCUGCUCGCCUGAGCACGGAACAGGUCAGGGGGACACCUGACCAGCCCUGACCCUCUCCCCAGGGGCAGCUGUCAGCCAACCGAUAACUGGCAAUGCCGAAGACCGUGCCAAAGAGUGUCAACCAGGAACGUGUCUUCUUUCUUGAAAUACAUCGUGGAUCAGCAGGCAGGCCCCUCAAGACCCCAGCAAUGCAGCUUGCUCGGCCCAGCACAUAGUAACCCAGAAACAUAUGUGCUUUCCAAUACUAUUCGUCGGACUAGGCCAAGGAGUGCUUUGGGAGCAGGCAACACCAAGACUUCAUGGCUUGACACAACCAAGGUUGAUUCACGUUCGUGCAAUACCCACUGCAGGACUGAGUGGCUUCUAGGACAGGUGCCUUCCUGUGGGGCGACCCAGUGAUCCAGGUGGACAGAGAUGCCACCACCCUUAUGCUUUCCACUGGAACGUGUGGCCUCCUCGGUCAGUAUGGCAGGCGAGGAUGAUGGAGGAUCUGAGACCAACAAUCAAAUGCUUCAGUUCGGAAAUGACAAGAUCACGACUGUUCACUACCCAUUGGCCAGACCUGGUCAUGGAGGCUCUCCUGACUGCCAGAGGAGCAGAGAUGUGAAAUCCUCACACUUGCCUGGGAGGAGAAGAGAACCAAAUAGGAGUAAGCAUCAGACUUUUGUGCCACAGUAUCUUAACAUGCGUUCAUGAGCACUUUAUUUCAUUCAUUUUUACAAAGAAUAUGUGAUAAAUGCUGCCAGCCUUUGCA